AUUGAACGCUGGCGGCAUGCUUUACACAUGCAAGUCGAACGGUAACAGGCCGCAAGGUGCUGACGAGUGGCGAACGGGUGAGUAAUGCAUCGGAACGUGCCCAGUCGUGGGGGAUAACUGCUCGAAAGAGCAGCUAAUACCGCAUACGAUCUAUGGAUGAAAGCGGGGGACCGUAAGGCCUCGCGCGAUUGGAGCGGGCGAUGUCAGAUUAGGUAGUUGGUGGGGUAAAGGCUCACCAAGCCAACGAUCUGUAGCUGGUCUGAGAGGGACGACCAGCCACAAUGGGACUGAGACACGGCCCAGACUCCUACGGGAGGCAGCAGUGGGGAAUUUUGGACAAUGGGGGCAACCCUGAUCCAGCAAUGCCGCGUGCAGGAAGAAGGCCUUCGGGUUGUAAACUGCUUUUGUACGGAACGAAACGGUCUGGGUUAAUACCCUGGGCUAAUGACGGUACCGUAAGAAUAAGCACCGGCUAACUACGUGCCAGCAGCCGCCGUAACAC
rnacentral:rRNA from 1 species